UGGGGAGGGAGUUCGAGAGCUGCGUGCGGGGUGAUAUCCGGGGCCCAGGGCUCCGUCUGGCCGGACUGACCCUACUCACCCUUCCUCCGAAGAGGAACCCGGGGUUUGUCUUUGUUUUUCUAAUCUUGAGGUGUUUUCCCCCUUAAUAUUAAAUUCUGAAGGAAAUAGGCAUCCAAGCGCCCUGCCCUUCGGCAAUUAUAAAACAUUUCUCUAUGAUAAACACAGAAUCUCAGUCAGAACGGAGAACUUUUUGCACUGACUUACAUACUGGGAAGAGCAGAGGGGAAGAUGGAGUAAGGGAAACUGAAAGACAAACUUCACCUCCUCGAGAUUUUUGCCAAGGGUUGGCUCAUCCUGCUGGUAUUCUGAAGAGAAGCUGUAACACCCAAAGCAAGAACUCAGCUUCGUGUGUCCUCGUGAGGGAAAUAUUUGAAUCUCUGGCAUGUCCCAGCAUGCUAACUGGCAAGCAAGCCCUGGACUACAUUACCCAAGUCGUUUUGCCACACUUACUCUGUGUUGGAAAUGAAAUUGUUCAAAAACAUCGAAUUCCGAAUGGAAUCCAGCAAGAUGAUAUUUCUAAUUACUGAAUGAUUAUACCGACCAUAAAAUUCUACAGUCUUUAUGAAAAAUAUGUUAUUUCACUCUAUUGCUUCAAGACCCAUGACUGCUGUCAGCCAAGAAGAGGAAAAGGAUGAAAGACUGAAUGAAUGCUUACUAUGUACCAGCUCUGCUCUGACAUGAAGGAGCUGGAAAACUCUAUCCCAGAAGAAAAUUACUUUGUACAAUCUUCAGUGCCAUCUGCUGGAAGCAGGCAAAAUUCAUAUACUGUUGCUCCAGAAAGCUGAUUUUUUAAAAAAAUGAAACUAUCUAAGUUGAACUAUAA